rnacentral:rRNA from 1 species
GAUGAACGCUAGCGGCAGGCUUAAUACAUGCAAGUCGAGGGGCAGCAUGAAGUCGCAAUACUUUGAUGGCGACCGGCAAACGGGUGCGGAACACGUACACAACCUUCCUUUAAGUGGGGGAUAGCACAGAGAAAUAUGGAUUAAUACCCCGUAACACAACGAAGUGGCAUAACUUUGUUGUUAUAGUUUCGGCGCUUAAUGAUGGGUGUGCGUAUGAUUAGAUAGUUGGCGGGGUAACGGCCCACCAAGUCUACGCUCAUUAGCUGAUCUGAGAGGAUGAAAGGCGACCCCGGAAGUGAGAGACGCCCCGGCCCCCUCCGGGAGGGAGCAGUGCGGAAUAUUGGACAAUGGGAGGAAGCCUGGUCUAGCCAUCCCGCGUGGGUGAAGAAGGACUUCUCCUUGUAAUGCUAUUUUUUUGGGAAAGAAAAGAAACAGGUUUCUAUCUCGACCUUCUGACGGUACCAAAAGAAUAAGCACCGGCUAACUCCGUG